CCUACGGGAGGCAGCAGUAGGGAAUAUUGGACAAUGGGCGCAAGCCUGAUCCAGCCAUGCCGCGUGAGUGAAGAAGGCCCUCGGGUUGUAAAGCUCUUUUGUCCGGAAAGAAAAGCGCCGGGUUAAUACCCUAGUGUCCUGACGGUACCGGAAGAAUAAGCACCGGCUAACUUCGUGCCAGCAGCCGCGGUAA
rnacentral:rRNA from 1 species